rnacentral:tRNA from 1 species
GGUGGCUCAGUAGUAGAGCGCUUGUCUUGCAUGCAUGGGGCCCUGGGUUCGAUUCCUCAGCACCA